rnacentral:rRNA from 1 species
AGAGUGAACGCUGGCGGUAGGCCUAACACAUGCAAGUCGAACGGCAGCACAGGAGAGCUUGCUCUCUGGGUGGCGAGUGGCGGACGGGUGAGGAAUACAUCGGAAUCUACCUUUUCGUGGGGGAUAACGUAGGGAAACUUACGCUAAUACCGCAUACGCCCUUCGGGGGGAAAGCCGGGGAUCGCAAGACCUGGCGCGGAUAGAUGAGCCGAUGUCGGAUUAGCUAGUUGUGAGUAAUGGCUCACCAAGGCGACGAUCCGUAGCUGGUCUGAGAGGAUGAUCAGCCACACUGGAACUGAGACACGGUCCAGACCUCCGUACGGGAGCAGCAGGUGGGGAAUAUUGGACAAGUGGGCGACAAGCCAGAUACCAGACCACGUACCGCGUAGGGUGAAGAAGGUCCGUU